GGUUGAUCCUGCCAGUAGUCAUAUGCUUGUCUCAAAGAUUAAGCCAUGCAUGUCUAAGUAUAAAUACCUUAUACUGUGAAACUGCGAAUGGCUCAUUAAAUCAGUUAUAGUUUAUUUGAUGGUACCUCACUACAUGGAUAACCGUAGUAAUUCUAGAGCUAAUACAUGCGCAAAGUCCCGACUUCUGGAAGGGAUGUAUUUAUUAGAUAAAAAACCAAUCCGGGCAACCGGUUUCAUGGUGAUUCAUAAUAACUAAUCGGAGCCCAUGGUCUUGCACCGGGGCCAGGUCAUU
rnacentral:rRNA from 1 species